AGGUAGACGUAACAGGAUUAGAUACCCUGGUAGUCCACGCCGUAAACGAUGCUAACUCGUUUUUGGUUUUUCGGAAUCAGAGACUAAGCGAAAGUGAUAAGUUAGCCACCUGGGGAGUACGUUCGCAAGAAUGAAACUCAAAGGAAUUGACGGGGGCCCGCACAAGCGGUGGAUUAUGUGGUUUAAUUCGAUGAUACGCGAGGAACCUUACCAAGGCUUAAAUGGGAAUUGAUUGGUUUAGAAAUAGACCGUCCUUCGGGCAAUUUUCAAGGUGCUGCAUGGUUGUCGUCAGCUCGUGCCGUGAGGUGUUAGGUUAAGUCCUGCAACGAGCGCAACCCCUGUCACUAGUUGCCAUCAUUCAGUUGGGGACUCUAGUGAGACUGCCUACGCAAGUAGAGAGGAAGGUGGGGAUGACGU
rnacentral:rRNA from 1 species